CCUACGGGAGGCAGCAGUGAGGAAUAUUGGUCAAUGGACGAGAGUCUGAACCAGCCAAGUAGCGUGAAGGAUGACUGCCCUAUGGGUUGUAAACUUCUUUUAUAUGGGAAUAAAAUGUUCCACGUGUGGGAUUUUGUAUGUACCAUAUGAAUAAGGAUCGGCUAACUCCGUGCCAGCAGCCGCGGUAAUACGGAGGAUCCGAGCGUUAUCCGGAUUUAUUGGGUUUAAAGGGAGCGUAGGUGGAUUGUUAAGUCAGUUGUGAAAGUUUGCGGCUCAACCGUAAAAUUGUAGUUGAAACUGGCAGUCUUGAGUACAGUAGAGGUGAGCGGAAUUCGUGGUGUAGCGGUGAAAUGCUUAGAUAUCACGAAGAACUCCGAGUGCGAAGGCAGUUCACUGGACUGCAACUGACACUGAGGCUCGAAAGUGUGGGUAUCAAACAGGAUUAGAUACCCUAGUAGUC
rnacentral:rRNA from 1 species